UAAAUAGUUACACGAACCUCGGUUCGUGGCCAACUUCUUAGAGGGACUACCGGCGUUUAGCCGGUGGAAGUUUGAGGCAAUAACAGGUCUGUGAUGCCCUUAGAUGUUCUGGGCCGCACGCGCGCUACACUGACGAAGUCAGCGAGUAUAUAACCUUGGCCGGAAGGUC
rnacentral:rRNA from 1 species